ACGCCUCGCAGGCAGGCAGGCAGGCAGGGCGUCCAGGAGCCCGGGCAGGCGGGGUGGUCACGUCGGAAGGGUGGUGGCGCCAGCCGGGGCGCACAGGAGCUGCUCUCCAGAGCAACCCGGCUGGGGAAGGGGGUCCCCUUUGGGGCGACGGCCGGCCGAACAAAAGCCCCCGCUGGCCCGGCCUUCGGUCACCCCCUCAAGGCAAGCUCCUCCUCUCCUCUCUGCUCGGAGGCUGGAGCACGGGGACGGGAAGAAGGCGGGCGAGGAGGGGGGGUCCCCCCCUUCUCCCUCGGAGGUGUUUCGUUUCCUAAGGAGGUCCCUUGAGCCUGCCUUGUAACGAGAGAGAGAGAGAGCGGCGGCGGCGGCAGCCUGCCCUCCCCAGCCCCGAACAGGCGGCCAGGAGGGGCGUCCGACCGCGAGAAGGCACGCACGGGGGGCUACAUCCCCGGGUGAAGGGAAGGCGCUUCCCCCAGCCGGGGGAAGAGGGUCUUGCCCUUCAGCCGAGCCGGCGAGAGGGAGGCGCGGAGGCAAGCCUUUGCUGGAAGAGUGUCAAGCUUGGCGGGAGUGUCGGCUAGCCCAGCAAGUGAGGAACGAGCUUUCCCCGGACCAGCUGGUAUUACUUUUG